UCAGGAUGAACGCUAGCGGCAGGCUUAACACAUGCAAGUCGAGGGGCAUCGGGAGUAGCAAUACUUGCCGGCGACCGGCGCAAGGGUGCGUAACGCGUGAGCAACAUGCCCGUAUCAGGGGGAUAAUCCAUGGAAACGUGGUCUAAUACCCCAUAGUAAUUAUGUAAGGCAUCUUAUAUAAUUUAAAGCUUUGGUGGAUACGGAUUGGCUCGCGUGACAUUAGCUGGAUGGUAAGGUAACGGCUUACCAUGGCUACGAUGUCUAGGGGUUCUGAGAGGAAGGUCCCCCCACACUGGAACUGAGACACGGUCCAGACUCCUACGGGAGGCAGCAGUGAGGAAUAUUGGACAAUGGAUGGAAAUCUGAUCCAGCCAUGCCGCGUGCAGGAAAAGACGGCCCUAUGGGUUGUAAACUGCUUUUGUAUGGGAGCAAUAAGGGCUACGUGUAGUCCGAUGAGAGUACCAUACGAAUAAGCACCGGCUAACUCCGUGCCAGCAGCCGC
rnacentral:rRNA from 1 species